rnacentral:misc_RNA from 1 species
GAGCAAUUGUGGCUCCUCUCGCUCGUUCUCUUGCGUUCUGUAAAGAGAAGAAAAUGAUGACUGGUUUCUUCCAUCAUAGGGCUGCUGUUAGAGAUGAAAAGAUGUUGGUAAGGAUGGGAUUUGGCCAGAAAUUGAAGAGUUGGGCAGCUGCUGCAAGUAUCUCUGUCCUUCAAUUCCUAAGGCUGCUGGGUUAAGAGAAUGCAAAUUGCGGGAUGGGUUUGCAAGGCUAGGGCUACUGUAAUUGAAAGAAAAUGACAAGGUGGGGAAUUUAGCUGAAAUCAUAGUGGCUUUUUUUUUUUUUUAAUCAUGGCU